UGGGGAAUAUUGCACAAUGGGCGCAAGCCUGAUGCAGCAACGCCGCGUGAAGGAAGACGGUUUUCGGAUUGUAAACUUCUGUUCUUAGUGAAGAAGAAUGACGGUAGCUAAGGAGCAAGCCACGGCUAACUACGUGCCAGCAGCCGCGGUAAUACGUAGGUGGCAAGCGUUGUCCGGAAUUACUGGGUGUAAAGGGAGCGCAGGCGGGGAAGCAAGUCAGUUGUGAAAUCCAUGGGCUUAACCCGUGAACUGCAGUUGAAACUGUUCUUCUGAGUGAAGUAGAGGUUGGCGGAAUUCCGAGUGUAGCGGUGAAAUGCGUAGAUAUUCGGAGGAACACCGGUGGCGAAGGCGGCCAACUGGGCUUUUACUGACGCUGAGGCUCGAAAGUGUGGGGAGCAAACAGGAUUAGAUACC
rnacentral:rRNA from 1 species